GACGAACCGUGCGAACGUUGUUCGGAAUCACUGGGCUUAAAGGGCGCGUAGGCGGACUCUUAAGUCGGUGGUGAAAUCCUGGAGCUCAACUCCAGAACUGCCUCCGAUACUGGGAGCCUUCGAGUCCGGGAGAGGUGAGUGGAACUGCGAGUGUAGAGGUGAAAUUCGUAGAUAUUCGCAAGAACACCAGUGGCGAAGGCGGCUCACUGGCCCGGUACUGACGCUGAGGUGCGAAAGCGUGGGGAGCAAACAGG
rnacentral:rRNA from 1 species